CACUGAGAGGCAGCAUCACUGAGAAGCAGCAUCACUGAGAGGCAGCAUCACUGAGAAGCAGCAUCACUGAGAGGCAGCAUCAGUGAGAAGCAGCAUCACUGAGAGGCAGCAUCAGUGAGAAGCAGCAUCACUGAGAAGCAGCAUCACUGAGAAGCAGCAUCAGUGAGAAGCAGCAUCAGUGAGAAGCAGCAUCAGUGAGAAGCAGCAUCACUGAGAAGCAGCAUCAGUGAGAAGCAGCAUCACUGAGAGGCAGCAUCACUGAGAGGCAGCAUCACUGAGAAGCAGCAUCACUGAGAGGCAGCAUCAGUGAAGACCUCUGCACAGGGAUGAUGGGGAGAGCGAACCGACCAGGGAGGCAGAGACGGCAGGAUCCUGACACACACUGGACAGCCAGCUUAGACCUACUCUGCAAGGCCUUGGUUCCAGUGAGAGAUCCUGCUCAAAAGGGAAUCCUGUGGAAGAGGAGGCAAGAAGUCUAAGAGACAGAGGGUAUGGAGGACACCAAGAAAGCAAGGCCAUUAAGUCAACAAGACUGGUGCAAAUCAGUGUCCACCGAGACAAAGGCAGCAUGCUCAGGACCCGUAUUAAUCCUCUCAUAUGCCCAGCUGUUAUAAGACUGAGACAAGGUUUGUGUCAAU